AUACCUUUCUCGGCCUUUUGGCUAAGAUCAAGUGUAGUAUCUUCUUAUCAGUUUAAUAUCUGAUGUAUGAGUCAUCUGCUCACUCGAUAUUAAUCUUAAUUUUCAUGGGUAAAGACCCAUCACAAUAGCUUGCUAUUGGGGUCUGUGAGAGUCCUUGGUGUUGCACUAUUGCCUUGGCCUGGCUCACCCCUU